rnacentral:sRNA from 1 species
CCUGCAAUGAGUCAUGAUUGAACAAGCCAUGUGUGGCGAUGCAGUACACCUUUUUGGCCCCGCCCCUCUUCACCACUGUCUCUGCAGCUGCGAUCCACGAACCCGGCUUAUCAAUCAUAUCAUCGACGAUAAACACUUUUUUGUUCCUCACAUCACCAACGAGUGUUACCGUCCUCUCACGGGUGAACAUUUCCUGCUUAUUAUCUUCUUCGUCGGAGGAAGCAGCAGCAUCAAAUGAGCCUCCUAGGGCAUGGUCAGGAUGGAAGGACGAUGAGUUGGAGAUGAAAGAUGAGGUCAUGGGAUCCCGUGAGGGCGUCAUCGUCAACAAUAUGGCCCUGCACCAAUCUACCUGUGAUCACCUCUCGCGCGCGCUCAUCGGUGUACUCGAACGCGGCCUCUUGCUCGGAAGGACGGCGCGCAGAAAAUGACGAUUCGAUUUGUUGCGAUGCAGUGGUCGAGGCGUGUGGUGGCGACGGUGGUGAUUCAGACUCCGCAGCAGACGCCGUUCGUGCCAAUGGACUAGGGGAGACAUUUCGUUGAGAAGGUCGAACGGGAACUCUGGUUGAGGGAGGUUGGGACCCGGGUGGUUCGGUCCGAGGAAUCGGAUCAACAGGGGCCUGUUCAUCCUGCGGCGAGGGAAAACCGCGAUCAACAGAAUCGAAAAAUAUGGCGCUUCCUGACAAUCCACUGUUCAUGUUUCCCCGGCUCCGAUCUGUGUUCACGAUACCAAAGUUUAGCUUCAGCGCAUCCGCCAAGGACGUCACCCUUUUGCUUCCGCCAGCAUUUUUUGUGACUACAACGGCUUCAUUCCAGCGAGGCACGUUCAUCCGGAUCCAGCGCGCAAUCAAGGGCUCAGCAAAUAGGUUAUCGACAGGUCUUCCGAAAAAACCUUGCAUUUGAGAUGCCUGCGGUGAAAGCUUAGUGCUCCAAAGAUUACAUGGAAGCGAAGGAUGACAUUGUGGUGCCUGAAGGUGAAUCAUCAUACAUGUAAAUCCACGGUAAUUAUAUGAUCUACGCCGGCGACAGUGAGCAAAUUGGCAAGCAUUCGAGCGGUUAUCGCGCCACGAUGGCUCUUCUUUUUUGAUUGACGAGAGUAGGGGAAAUAACUCUAGCAUGUUAGCAGUAUUGGCUACGGGUUGAGAGAAAGGAAGUAACCUACGGCAUCACCGCUAGAGAACGAAAAAGAAAACAAGUUAGAGGUUGGGCAUAUUUCAAACUAGAACUGAAUAUGGAAAGGAAUAAUAAUCUAUACAUACCGGUAAUUGAUUUAGCAGAGCCACCUUUACAAGCGGAUAUCAUGAUAAGCAGUUCCAUAACGCUAUCAUUGAUCUUGGAGCUUCCACUUUGCACAAUGAAAACAUCCUGGUUCCGCACAGAAACACCAAUAUUGACGCUUGUUUCUCCAUUACUGAAUUUGCGGAGUUCACAUUUG